rnacentral:rRNA from 1 species
UGAAGAGCGCAGCGAAAUGCGAUACGUGGUGCGAAUUGCAGAAUCCCGUGAACCAUCGAGUUUUUGAACGCAAGUUGCGCCUGAGGCCAGCUGGCCAAGGGCACGUCCGCCUGGGCGUCAAGCAUUAAAUCGCUCCAUAAGACGCCCGAUGCUACGAGCGU